ACUUGACCAGUCCUCUCAAUAUUUUAUUUUACAUUCUCUCUUUUCUUUUCCAUCUCAUCAACAUCAUUUCAUCAAUUCAUCAGGUGCACACGGGGGCGCCGAUCUCCCAUUUACCCGGCCGACGGUCCAAUUUCACAAUUCAUCAUAAUCAGGAUCCAUGCUUUAUCGACCGUCCUCACAAACCCAUGGUGACCCACUUCAUCCCAAUUCCACACAAGCAAAGCACAGCAAUAUCACAACACAAUUAAUCAAACAUUGCAAACAAAUGCAGACAUAUUAUUCAAUUGGACAUCGUAAUGCAAUGCACAAUUAAACAUCCAAAAUCAAUGCAAAUAAAUAAAUAAAUAAAUAAUAGAAUUGACAAUAAACAACGAUAAUAAAAUAAAUAACAAUAAUAACAAUAAUAAUGCAAAUAAAUAACUAAAUAUAUA
rnacentral:lncRNA from 1 species